UACGUAGGGUGCGAGCGUUGUCCGGAAUUAUUGGGCGUAAAGAGCUCGUAGGCGGUGUGUCACGUCGGCCGUGAAAACCUGCAGCUUAACUGUGGGCGUGCGGUCGAUACGGGCAUCACUGGAGUUCGGCAGGGGAGACUGGAAUUCCUGGUGUAGCGGUGAAAUGCGCAGAGAUCAGGAGGAACACCGGUGGCGAAGGCGGGUCUCUGGGCCGAUACUGACGCUGAGGAGCGAAAGCGUGAGGAGCAAACAGG
rnacentral:rRNA from 1 species